AAAAAAAAAAAAGGUCAGAAUCUUUCCCAGGAAUUGCAGGAAACUUCCAUGAAGACACUUGCAGGUCUUCCUUCGGGGCUGGAGAUCACUCUUUGCACCAUGCAAGAGGCCAACAUUUUAGAAUUAUAGAAUGUUUUGGGUUGGAAGACACCUUAAAGAUCAUUGAGUUCCAACCCCCUGCCAUGGGCAGGGACACCUCCCACUAGACCAGGUUGCUCAAAGCCCCAUCCAGCCUGGCCUUGAACCCCUCCAGGGGGCUACACUUUGCUGGGAUAAAAGUUAGUUUCUCUUUUUGCUCAGGGACCAAAAAUAAUCAAAUGUAAAGCAGGGCCUGCCCAGCUUGUCCUGGAACUGUGUCCCUGGUAACCCCUGCUCCUGGUGGCUUAGUUCUGCUGGUGAGCAAUGCAUCACUACCUUAUCAUACCCCAGCUGCAGAGGAGGUAAACCUCACACCCCUGUAAAGUCACAAGUGCUAGAGCAGGACAGAGGAAAUGUCAAGCCCUUCUGGUCCAUCUACUCAGCAGCUGAGAAGGUGACUUAUGGACUCAGCAGCUGGUCUGACCAGCUCAUGUCUCCAUGACAUGUCUCCAUGAAAUGACUCAGUCUCCAUGGGGCAGGGAGUGAAAGGCCCAUGGUGGCUGAAUUCCUGGUCAAUAAGCCUUAGCAGUGCAACAGGAUGAGUGUGGACCAUCCCUGGAGGUCUGUCCCAGCAGGAGCCAAGCUGGCUGAGGACGAGCAUGUUUCAUGACGUAGGGAGCAACAUGGUUUCUGAUGACCUCCUUGGCUGCAGAACCCAGGAGCGACCAGCUCGUAGCGUCUGUCACUGGGGCACCAGGAUGGUGAAAUCACCCAAGCAGAAACAGCAGCUCUGUUUGCAAGCAUUCAGGUGCCAGUGGUGCCGCAGAGGUGAGCGGUGGGAGGUGGUUGGACCUCGUGCUCCCUUGUCCCUGCUGUCCACCUCAGCAGUAGGAUCUGCCCCACAAGCCCAGCGCUGCUCCUCUCUCCCCUUGACCCAGGUGAGGUGGGAAGAGGACACGGGUGCCCCUUGAGUUUCUCUGCUGUUCCUCUAAUGACCUCAGCCACCAGAAUGAGAUGUGACACGGCUGGUCAAUACCAGCCCCCAACUGUGAGUUGUCACUGCCUAUGGCAUCCUCUGCUAUUAAAAAAAAUAAUAAUCUUUCUUUUUUUUCUCAUAUAAAAUAGGUUUACUAAGUCAGUAUGACCCUAUAGCACCCAAGAAGAAAAGUGAAUUAAUCACUAACUAAUGUGAAUGUUAAAAUGUGAUAUUUUUUUUUUUUAUUAUUCUUAUUUUAAUUUACAGAUUGUACCUUCUCCAUUUUCAUCCUGGCAUUCAGUGCUGCCAUGAGCUAGGGCAAACUUUUCAAACUCUCACAUUACUUAAAAUUACCAUGCUAGUCUACGUGCACCUAUUUGCAAAUUAGACUUUCUCAUCUCUGCCAGUAUGUCCUAAUGUGUUAAUGUAAAACCGGGUAAGAGCUGUUCUUUAGUUUGGGUUUUUAAGCCAGUUGCAUGUCACUAGUUUUUGGCAUUGCCAUUUUUAUGAGUAAUGACUGGUCUGUGAAUUUCUCUUGUAGAAUUAUAAACCAUCUUUUGCUUCGUCAUUAUUGAACUUUCUGACAUUCACAAGAUUUUUGAAUUGCUCUUAAUUGUGCAAACUGACAUUUUGUAUAUAGACGAACAACGGUUAGGUUCUACUUUAGUGAUUAAUACUCAUCAUUAAGGCUCUUAGAUCAAAUAAGGUAUAUUGUGAAUUUCUGAGCAAGAGAAUUGAAACUUCCUUAUUUUAGUAAUCUAACAUCUUAAGUGAAUUUUGUAUUUCAAGGACAAAAUAAAAAUGAAUAUAUCUAUUUUAAUAUUGAA